AAUGUCUCUCUGGCUUCCUCUCCCUCUCAGAGACCCAAAUUGGAACUGAAACCCUGAGUACAGCAAAACUGCAUUUCCCAAGCUCCUCGUCUCUCAAUGGGUCACAUGACUUGUUCUAGCCAAUAGAACAAGGGUGGAAGUAAUGCAACCACUUUCAGCUGGCCCCUAAAGUCUCCUGUGAGAUCUUCCAAUCUUGCUCUCCUCUCUCUGCAUGGCUGGAAGUGCA
rnacentral:lncRNA from 1 species